GAUGAAGAACGUAGCGAAAUGCGAUACGUAAUGUGAAUUGCAGAAUUCAGUGAAUCAUCGAAUCUUUGAACGCAUAUUGCGCUCUUUGGUAUUCCGAAGAGCAUGCUUGUUUGAGUAUCAGUAAACACCUCAAAACUUUUGAUUUUUUUUUAAAAAAAAAAGGUUUUGGACUUGAGCAAUCCCAACACCAAUCUUUUUUAGAUCGGUGGCGGGUUGCUUGAAAUGCAGGUGCAGCUGGACAUUCUCCUGAGCUAAAAGCAUAUUUAUUUAGUCCCGUCAAACGGAUUAUUACUUUUGCUGCAGCUAAUAUAAAGGGAGUUUGACCGUAUUGGCUGACUGAUGCAGGAUUUCACAAGGGUCGGCAACGAUUCUUGUAAAACUCGAUCUCAAAUCAAGUAAGACUACCCGCUGAACUUAAGCAUAUCAAUAAGCGGAGGA
rnacentral:misc_RNA from 1 species